rnacentral:rRNA from 1 species
AGUGAACGCUGGCGGUAGGCCUAACACAUGCAAGUCGAACGGCAGCACAGUAAGAGCUUGCUCUUACGGGUGGCGAGUGGCGGACGGGUGAGGAAUACAUCGGAAUCUACUUUUUCGUGGGGGAUAACGUAGGGAAACUUACGCUAAUACCGCAUACGACCUACGGGUGAAAGCAGGGGAUCUUCGGACCUUGCGCGAUCGAAUGAGCCGAUGUCGGAUUAGCUAGUUGGCGGGGUAUAGGCCCACCAAGGCGACGAUCCGUAGCUGGUCUGAGAGGAUGAUCAGCCACACUGGAACUUAGACACGGUCCAGACUCCUACGGGAGGCAGCAGUGGGGAAUAUUGGACAAUGGGCGCAAGCCUGAUCCAGCCAUACCGCGUGGGUGAAGAAGGCCUUCGGGUUGUAAAGCCCUUUUGUUGGGAAAGAAAAGCAGCAGGUUAAUACCCCGCUGUUCUGACGGUACCCAAAGAAUAAGCACCGGCUAACUUCGUG